GUCGUUGAAGAAUUUCAAGACACUUCUCUGGAUGCUCUAUUCCGUGAAGAUGACAGUGAGAUGCUUGGAGAUGAUUCAGACAGUGACGGAUUUCUUUCAGAGUUUUAAAUUUAAUUUAUUGCUAAUAAUCUUGUUAUUUUAAAUUUUUCAUUUGCUCUAGCUAUUGCAUACUUGGUGUAUUGAUUUCUCGAGUUUGUGACCAGGACUCAAGCUUUUCACAUGUUAUUGGAAGUGACGAUGAAAAUGAAAAUUAUAUUGGGAACAGCAACGGUGCUAGUUCCUUAUCAGUGCAAAACAAAGAUAUUUGUGCAGAACUUUUGAAGAAAGCAAAAAAGUUGAACAAACUGAAAGAAAAGGAUCUAGGGUUUUCUAAAUUUCUAGAAAGUUAUAAUAUGAAGAUCGAACAAACCGAAUAUGAAGAAAUUAGUUCAGAUGAUGAAAAAAGCUUAGAUUGGGUGCAGCCAGCGGAUAACAACAAUGCAUGUUCUCAUGCAGGUAAACUGUUGACAAGUGCAUCUGUUGAUUCAUUGUGUAAACUGGUCAAAGAACAGUGUAGUG